rnacentral:lncRNA from 1 species
UAAUGAUGAAGUGAAAACAGGUUUUUGGGGAAAAAAAAGAAAAACAGAAAUACCUUAUUUAGUACUAAGACACUUUGCUAUGAGACUCGAAAUUGAGCUCAUCCUGUUUCCAUUGAUCAUCCUUGAGAUGUUUCUACAACUUGAUUGGAGUCCACCGGUGGUAAAUUAAAUUAAUUCGACGUGAUUUGCAAAGGCACACAUCUGCCUUUAUAAGGUCCCACAGUUGACAGUGCAUGCCAGAGCAAAAACCAAGCCAUGAGGUCAAAGGAAUUGUCCGUAGAGCUCUGAGACAGGAUUGUGUCGAGGCACAGAUCGGGGGAAGUGUACCAAAAAAUGUCUGCAGCAUUGAAGGUCCCCAAGAACACAGUGGCCUCCACCAUUCUUAAAUGGUUGAACUUUGAAACCACCAAGACUCUUCCUAGAGCUGACCGUCCGGCCAAACUGAGCAAUCGGGGGAGAAGGGCCUUGGUCAGAGAGGUGACCAAGAACCCGAUGGUCACUCUGACAGAGCUCCAGAGUCCCUCUGUGGAGAUGGGACAACCUUCCAGAAGGACAACCAUCUUUGCAGCACUCCACUAAUCAGGCCUUUAUGGUAGAGUGGCCAGACGGAAGCCACUAAUCACUAAAAGGCACAUGACAGCCCACUUGGAGUUUGCCAAAAGGCACCUAAAGACUCUCAGACCAUGAGAAACAAGAUUCUCUGGUCUGAUGAAACCAAGAUUGAACUCUUGGUCUAAAUGCCAAGCGUCACAUCUGGAGGAAACCUGGCACCAUCCCUACGGUGAAGCAUGGUGGUGGCAGCAUCAUGCUGUGGUGAUGUUUUUCAGCGGUAGAGACUGGGAGACUAGUCAGGAUCGAGGGAAAGAUGAACGGAGCAAAGUACAGAGAGAUCCUUGAUGAAAACCUGCUCCAGAACACUCAGGACCUUAGACUGGGGCGAAGGUUCACCUUCCAACAGGACAACAACACUAAGCACAUAGCCAAGACAAUGUAGGAGUGGCUUCGGGACAAGUCUCUGAAUGUCCUUGAGUGGCCCAGCCAUAUCCCGGACUUAAACCCGAUCGAACAUUUCUGGAGGGAUCUGAAAAUAGCUGUGCAGUGACGCUCCCCAUCCAACCUGACUGAGCUUGAGAGGAUCUGCAGAGAAGAAUGGGAGAAACUCCCCAAAUACAGGUGUGCCAAGCUUGUAGCGUCAUAUCCAAGACGACUCGAGGCUGUAAUCGCUGCCAAAGGUGUUUCAACAAAGUACUGAGUAAAUGCUCCUGUAGCCAGUGCAGUGGUGUGUUUCUCCAGUCCAGCUGCUCUCCUCUCCUCCCAGCUCCCCAGUCCUCAGCAGAGUCUCAAAUGGCAGCCUAUUCCCUAUAUAGUGCACUACUUGAGACCAAUCUCAUAGUAGGGAAUAGGGUGACAUUUGGGACGCAACCCUCCUGGCCCAUGUUUCACUUGGCAUUUCCUCCAAGGCCCUUGGGCCACACAUGACGUGAGAGGAGAGGGCCAGAAGGACUCACCCCGCCCUGGGAAAGGAGAGUGAGAUAACCUGUGUGUGCGAUCGUGAGAGGGGAGAGGGGGGAUGUGGGGUGGCGGAGGGCCCUGGUGAGAGAGAAACGCUGACUCACUCUAAUGGCCGGAUGGACUGGAGUGGAGGAAUGGAGAGAUAGAGAGAGGUAGAAAUAAGAGGACAACAAAGAGAUUAAGAUGUGAGGCAACAGCGGAGAGGAAGUGGAAGAGGGAGAGGAAGAGGGAGACGGAGAGGAAGAGGGAGACGGAGAGGGAGAGGGAGAUGGAGAGGGAGAGGAAGAGGGAGCGGGAGAAGGAGAGGGCGAGGAAAAGGAGGAGGAAUGGAGGAGGAAUGGAGGAGGAAUGGAGAGAUAGAGAGAGGUAGAAAGAGGAGGACAGCAAAGAGAUUAAGAUGUGAGGCAACAGCAGAGAGGAAGAGGAAGAGGGAGAGGAAGAGGGAGACGGAGAGGGAGAGGGAGAGGAAGAGGGAGAGGAAGAGGGAGAGGGAGAGGGAGAAGGAGAGGGCGAGGAAGAGGGAGAGGAAGAGGAAGAGGGAGAGGGCAAGGAAGCGGGAGAGGAAGAGGGAGAGGGAGAAGGAGAGGGUGAGGAAGAGGGAGAGGAAGAGGAAGAGAGAGAGGAAGAGGGAGAGGGAGAGGAAGAGGGAGAGGGAGAAGGAAAGGGAGAGGGAUUGGGAGAGGGAGAGGGAGAAAGAGAGGGAGCGGGAGACUGAGAGGGAGACGGAGAGGGAGACGGAGAGGAAGACAGAGAGGGAGAGAAAGAGGGAGAGGGAGAUGAAGAUGGAGAGGGAGAUGAAGAUGGAGAGGGAGAUGGAGAGGGAGACAGAGGGAGAGAGAGGAAGAGGGAGAGGGAGACGGAGAGGGAGACAGAGAGGAAGAGGGAGACAGAGAGGGAGACAGAGAGGGAGACGAAGAGGGAGACGGAGACGGAGAGGGAGACAGAGAGGGAGAGAAAGAGGGAGAGGGAAAGAGGGAGAGGGAGAUGGAAGAGGAAGACGGAGAAGGAGAGGGAGAGGGAGAGGAAGAGAAAGAGAAAGAGAAAGAGAGAAAGAGAGGGAAAGGGAGAGGGAGAGGAAGAGGGAGAUGGAGAGUAAGGGAGUAAGAAGAUGGAGAGAGCGGGUGAAGAGGAAGGAGGGAGAAGAGAAGAGGAAGGGAGGAGUGUCUCAGAGGGAGAGAAAAUAAUUUGUAGAUGUUCCCCUCCGGCUGGGGCAGUGCAGAAAUAAGAGACUGGGCCUUCAUCCAAAAUAUCACCCUAUUCCCUAUGUAGUGCACUACUGGGAUUUCCCCCUUUCUUGUAGAGUAUCAAAUCAAAUCACAUUUUCAAAUCAAAUGUUAUUUGUCACAUGCGCUGAAUACAACAGGUGUAGACCAUACAGUGAAAUGCUUACUUACGAGCCCCUAACCAACAAUGCAGUUUAAAAAAAUACAGAUAAGAAAUAAAAGUAACAAGUAAUUAAAGAGCAGCAGUAAAAUAACAAUAGCAAGACUGUAUACAGGGGGAACCGGUACAGAGUCAAUGUGCGGGGGCACAUAGUUGAGGUAAUCUGUACAUGAAGGUAGAGUUAUUAACGUUAUUAUGCAUAAAUGACAACAACAUAGAGUAGAAGUGGUGGUGGGGGGGGGCAAUGCAAAUAGACAGGGUAGCCAUGGGAUUAGAUGUUCAGGAGUCUUAUGGCUUGGGGGUAGAAGCUGUUUACAAGUCUCUACAUGUCCUGGUAAUCCAUCGGGCCCUGCGGCCUUGUGAAUGUUGACCUGUUUAUAAGACUUACACACGUCGGUUGUGGAGAGCGUGAUCACACAGUCUUCUGGAACAGCUGGUGCUCUCUUGCAUGUUUCAGUGUUAUUUGCCUCGAUGCGAGCAUAGAAGUAGUUUAGCUCGUCUGGUAAGCUCGUGUCACUGGGCAGCUCUCGGUUGGGUUUCCCUUUGUAUUCUGUAAUGGUUUGCAAGCCCUGUCACAUCCGACGAGCGUCAGAGGCGGUGUAAUACUAUACGAUCUUAGUCUUGUAGUGAUGCUUUACCUGAUUGAUGGUUCGUCGGAGGGCAUAGCGUGAUUUCUUAUGAUCUUCCAGGUCAGAGUCCUGCUUCUUGAAGUGGCAGCUCUAGCCAUUAGCUCAGG